rnacentral:rRNA from 1 species
CGCGAAUAGCUCAUUACAACAGCUAUAAUUUACUUGAUCUUGACACUAUCCUACUUGGAUAACUGUGGUAAUUCUAGAGCUAAUACAUGCAUUAAAGCUCUGACCUUCGGGAAAGAGUGCAUUUAUUAGAACAAAACCAAGCGGCUUCGGCUGUUUUCGGUUGACUCAUAGUAACUGAGCUGAUCGCACGGUCUUGCACCGGCGACGUGUCUUUCAAGUAUCUGCCGUAUCAACUUUCGAUGGUAGUGUAUCUGACUACCAUGGUGAUCACGCGUAACGGAGAAUAAGGGUUCGGCUCCGGAGAGUUCGCCUGAGAAAUCGCGAACACAUCUAAGGAAGGCAGCAGGCGCGAAAGUUACCCACUCUCAGCACGAGGAGGUAGUGACGAAAAAUAACGAGACCGUUCUCUUUCGAGGCGGUCAUCGGAAUGGGUACAAUUUAAACCCUUUAACGAGUAUCUAUGUGAGGGCAAGUCUGGUGCCAGCAGCCGCGGUAAUUCCAGCU